UGGAUCAAUGUUCCGUUUGGAGCAUUUAUAACCUCUUCCUUCUCGUUUACUUGCAGAAUGAAGAACUAGAAGAACAACAAUACCACCAUGAACAUCUCCUCCACCAGUGUUUUCUCUGAGCCACUCUUCAAAUUCACCCUCACCCACUUCCGCAGAGAACUUCCUCCCAUUCACAAUCACCGUUUCAAGCCCAAGUUAUUUUCUCUCCUUGCCUCUUCCAACCACCAUUCCACCUUCUGCAACUCCUCGCCACCCCACAGGUUUCAAGCUUUUGCGACAAACACUGAUACCCUCGAGUCCCUUCAGUCCGCUGAUGUCCUCUUCAACCAGACUUUCCCCAUCAACAGAAUUGAACUGUUGGAGGGAAAGAUCUUUGUAAGACUAGAUCAAGGGAAGGAUUUGAAAAAUUGGGAGCUUACCGUUGGUUGCAGUUUACCAGGGAAAUGGAUUCUUCACUGGGGAGUUUCCCGUCUGGAUGAUGCUGGAAGUGAAUGGGAUCAACCCCCUGGUAAUAUGAUACCCCCUGGAUCUGUUCCGAUAAAGGACUACGCAAUAGAGACACCUUUGAAGAAAUCAUCGUCAUCUGGUGAAGGAGAUACUUCUCAUGAAGUCCGGAUUGAUAUUAAACCUAACAAUGGAAUUUCAGCGGUUAAUUUUGUUCUCAAGGACAAGGAAACUGGUGCUUGGUAUCAACACAAAGGAAGAGAUUUCAAGGUUCCUUUGGUUAACUACAUCAAGGAGGAUGCUAAUAUAAUUGGACCUAGAAAGAGCUUUAAUCUUUUGGCAGGGGCCUUGGGACAGAUACCUAACAUUCUCCUGAAAUCAGAAGCAACACAUGGCAAAGUUCAAGAUAACAGCAGUGAAUCCAAAAGUCCAAAACAAGAAAGUAGUCAACUGGAAGGUUUCUAUGUAGAACUGCGAAUCACCAAGGAAGUUACUAUCAAUAACUCUAUCAGUGUCUCCAUUAGUAAAUGCUCUGAGACAGCUAAAAAUCUUUUGUAUUUAGAAUCGGAUAUACCUGGAAAUAUCCUGCUUCACUGGGGAGUUUGUAGGGAUGAUGUGAGAAGGUGGGAAGUUCCCCCUGCUCCACAUCCACCAGAAACAGUACCAUUUAAAGACAGAGCUUUGAGAACUCACUUACAGUCAAGAGACAGUGGAGAGGGAAGUUCAGUAGAGAUCUCAUUGGAAGAAGAAUUUUCAGGAUUUCUUUUUGUUCUUAAGUUAAAUGAAAAUACAUGGUUAAAUGACAAGGGAAAUGACUUUUACAUCCCUCUCCCCAGUUCUAGUAGCUUAAUAAUUGGCAGCAAAGAGGAACGAUCAGAAGGUGUGCAUAUGGAAGUGACUGAAAAGGCAGGUGAAGAGGAAUCAACCUCUGCGUUUACUGACGGAAUAAUCAAUGAAAUAAGUCAUUUGGUAACAGACAUUUCCUCUGAGAAGAGUCGAACAACGAAAUCCAAAGAAGCACAAGAAAGAAUUCUUCAAGAAAUUGAAAGGUUGGCUGCUGAAGCUUAUAGUAUCUUCAGAAGCUCUGUUCCAACUUUUUCAGAGGAAACUAUUAUGGAAUCUGAGGUUUCUGUGGAGCCAACUAAACUUAUUUUACCUGACACGCCUCUAAAAGUAUCAUCAGGAACAGGCACGGGGUACGAAAUAUUAUGCCAAGGGUUUAAUUGGGAAUCUCAUAAAUCUGGAAGAUGGUACUUGGAGCUUAAAGAGAAAGCUGCAGAACUAAUGUCUUUAGGCUUCACUGUGAUUUGGUUACCACCACCUACAGAAUCUGUUUCACCAGAAGGAUACAUGCCAAAGGAUUUAUACAAUUUAAAUUCUAGGUAUGGAACCAUUGAUGAACUGAAGGAUGUGGUGAAAAAAUUUCAUGAAGUUGGAAUCAAAGUGCUAGGAGAUGCUGUUAUAAAUCAUCGAUGUGCCCAGUUUAAGAAUCAGAAUGGUAUCUGGAACAUAUUUGGAGGUCGUCUGAACUGGGAUGAUCGGGCAAUUGUAGCUGAUGAUCCCCAUUUUCAGGGGAGGGGCAACAAGAGUAGUGGAGAUAAUUUCCAUGCUGCUCCAAACAUUGAUCAUUCACAGGAAUUUGUAAGAAACGAUCUUAAAGAAUGGUUAUGCUGGAUGAGGAAAGAAAUUGGGUAUGAUGGAUGGAGGCUUGACUUUGUCAGAGGAUUUUGGGGUGGUUAUGUGAAGGAUUACUUGGAUGCAAGUGAACCUUACUUUGCCGUAGGUGAGUACUGGGAUUCUCUCAGUUAUACAUAUGGUGAAAUGGAUCACAACCAAGAUGCACACCGGCAGAGGAUUGUUGACUGGAUAAAUGCUACUGGUGGUACUGCUGGUGCAUUUGAUGUUACUACUAAAGGGAUUCUUCACUCUGCAUUGGAAAGAUGCGAAUAUUGGCGCUUGUCAGAUCAGAAGGGAAAACCCCCUGGUGUUCUUGGAUGGUGGCCAUCACGUGCUGUUAGUUUUAUAGAAAAUCAUGACACUGGUUCUACCCAGGAUGGUUGGCUCUUGGGUAGCUGGAGAGAUUCAAGUUCUUGAGGGAGAAGCAUUGAUCCUUACAAACUAUCUUCCCUAUCUAUCUAUUAUAAUAUAGUAAAACCGAAUCGUGGGUGGAGAUUGCCAACUCAUUGUCAUAUUAUCAUGUUUUUACCACAUCAAAUAUUUUUGGAGGUGUGACCUCAAUAUUUUACCUUGCACUUCAUACAAAAUUGUAGGUCACAAUUUGGAGCAUGGGAUGCUGAAUUGCAAGGGGAUCAUCCUUAAUAGUAGUGCCCUCAAUGUGUUUAAGACUUCAAGUCCCUAGCAGGCCUCUAUUGUGGUAGUGUAAAUAAAUUGUGGCCCAUUGUAGGUAGUUGCAUCGUUAAGAUGAUAGCUGGUGUGUAGGACUCGUAGAUCUUUUGGGUUGCGGGGUGCGGUUGGAAUAGGAAAGGAUUUUUCAAGAUUAUGAAGUAAAAACUUUUGUCAUCUGACAUGGUGAUUGAUGCCUUAAGGUUUUCAAUGUGUACAUUUUGUUUGAUAAAGGACAACCUGAACAAGUGAAGCUCAAGUCUGUUGGUCCCUUGAAUUCGGGUUAAGGCCUAACUCUAACCUAAGAUGAUAGCUGGUGUGUAGGACUCGUAGAUCUUUUGGAUCGAGGGGUGUGAAUAGAAUAGGAACGGUUUUUUCAAGAGUAUGAAUGUUAGAUCUUAGACUCUGAGUUACGAAAUGGACCUUAAUGGUGUCUGAAAUGAAGAGAACAGGCAACUCUGAGUAAGUUGGGACUGGCACGACAAUGAAUGGAUCUUAGACUCUUGGUGCUUAUUACGUGUGCACACUGUUGAAAAAACUAGAGAAUGGGCUAAAAAUGAAAGUAAGGGCCAGCGGCUUGAUAUGAAGAAUAGGUGCUUGCUCUGGUACCUUAAGCCAGCUUAAGGGUCAUUGGAGAUUUCCCAGUGGAAAAGAAAUGCAAGGAUAUGCAUACAUUCUUAGUCACCCAGGGACUCCAUCAGUGUUCUUCGACCACCUUUUCUCUCACUACAAAACUGAAAUAGCGGCACUUAUCUCUAUCAGG